AAUUUUGUUGCGUCAGAAGCUUAUCAGCCGGUAACGUGACUACACUGAUAUAAUUUGUGAUACAAACAUGCUUUAUUCAAUACUGAGUAGCAUUUUUAAACGGCGACAUUUUGAACAUUUUUAUAUUUAGAGUGAGAGUGGAUACACGUUACACUGGCGCCGACAUUUUGAAAAUUUAAGGAAACAAAAACAUUCUCCAACGAGUUCUUCAGCUCGGGGAAUGAGAGAAUAGAUUCACCUUUGUGUCGCUUUUCAGAUCGUAUUUAAUUCCUUUCCGGUACUUUAGUUUCUUUGAACUUCUUUGUUACUAAGCCUAUAUUGAAUUUUUAAAAUUAAGAAAUCCGUGAUUUUACUUGCAGGCAUGACUGAUUAAUGGAAUUAUUUUACUUUUAUAUAGAAUAUGGACAGCACUCCAUUACAGCAUGUGCAUGGUUGGACCUGUUGACAUUUUAAGAAACGCAUCUUGGUCUAUUAUACAGAGUAUUGUUGUACUGCUCCAAAGUGCUUGUUGACAGACUGAAACCACUUGCUUGCGGCUCAUAAGGUUCACUUCUUGAGAGCAGGCAGCUACAAAAUGGAAGGUCAACAAAUCCAGUAUACUUGAAAAGCAAGAAAGAAACACCAGAAAAUAUAAAAAGACAAAAGAACAAGGGAACUUUAAUGAAAAAAAAACUUUUAAGGAUAGGAAUUCAGGAUUUAUUUAGAAACUAAAUAUAUUUUGAGAACAACAGUGUUUGACUAAGCUCUGUUACUUUAAGAGAUAAUGUAUUAUCACAUUGGUUUUGUUAUUGUCGAGCCCGCUUGCGGAAGCGAAGACAUAGUUGUCCAAAUGUCUAUUCGGGGGCCUCCGUGGCCGAGUGGUUAAGGUCGCUGACUUCAAAUCACUUGCCCCUCAUCGAUGUGGGGACGAGCCUCACUCGGGGCGUUGAAUUCUUCAUGUGAGGAAGCCAUCCAGCUGGCUUAUGGAAGGUCGGUGGUUCUACCCAGGUGCCCGCUCGUGAUGAAAUAAUGCAUGGAGGGGCACCUUGGGUCUUCCUCCACCAUUAAAGCUGGAAAGUCGCCAUAUGACCUAUCAUGUGUCGGUGUGACGUAAAAUCCAACAAAAAAACAAAAAAAAAAUGUCUAUUCGGUGUAUGUGCGUGCGUCCGUCCGUCCAGAUUUGUUUGUCUGGACCAUAAUUUGGACAUGCAUGGAGCAAUCUUGUUUAUAUAUGGUAUGAAUGUUAACCUCAGUGAGACGGAGUGUCAUGCGCAAGCCCCAGGUUCCUAUCUCAAAGGUCAAGAUCACACUUACAGGUCAAAGGUCAAAUUCAAAAAUGACUUUGUCCGGAGCAUUUCUUCUUCAUGCAAGGAGGGAUUUUGAUGUAACUUGGCACAAUUGUUCACCAUCAUGAGAUGGAGUGUCAUGCGCAAGAACCAGGUCGCUAGGUCUAAGGUCAAGGUCACACUUAGAGGUCAAAGGAUACAAGAAUGACAACUUUGUCUGGAGCAUUUCUUCUUCAUGCAUGGAGGGACUUUGAUGUAACUUGGCACAAAUGUUCACCACCAUGAGACGGAGUGUCAUGCAGAAGAACCAGGUCUAAGGUCAAGGUCACACUUAGAGGUCAAAAGUCAGAUACAAGAAUGACAUUGUCUGGAGCAUUUCUUUUUGAUGCAUAGAGGGAUUUUGAUGUAACUUUGCACAAUUGUUCAUCAUCAUGCGACGGAGUGUUAUGCAUAAGAUCCUAGAAUUACUUCCCUUUGUUGUUACUAUAAAUAGCUUACAUUUGUAACUUGUUUAUUACUGGUCGUAGGGAAAAAUCAAGACCACUUUUUUGUAGUACAACAUGCAUGUUACAUCCAAUUUUCAGGUGUAUUUUGACCUAUCUCUGCUGGUGCGGAUUUUUGUGUGGACUUAGAAUUUUUUUUUUUUUAAAUUUUACGUUCCUUUGUUGUUACUGUAAAUAACUUAUAUUGUAACUUUUUGCAAUCUCUUUUAUUUGGCAUAAAUGUUUGCCUCAGUGAGACAAGGAGUGUCAUGCACAACUCCCAGUUCUUUUGACAGCUGGCGGGCUUGACAUAUUGCCCGUGGGCAUCUAGUUCUCAUAUUUUUUAUGAGAUUUUAAAGAGAAUGUUCUGUUAUACCCCCAUAUAGUAAGCUUGUCUGUCUUUCAGUCAGUAGGUUUUCAUGGCUUCCAGAUGAUAACUCAUGAAAAGCUUGACCGAUUUAAAUAUUUUUUGGUACAUAGUUACAGGUCAAGUUCGACUUUGGGGUCAGUAGGUCAAAGGUCAAGAUAACUUGCAAAUGCUUUGGCCUGGGAUCAUAGCUUUUGUAACACAGGUGUAACAUGAUAAAAUACAGGUUGUUUGAAUUUGAGGUCAAUAGAUCAAAGGUCAAGGUCACAGUGAUUUUGAACAGUUUAACCGUUUCCGAAUGAUAACUUGAGACCUUGAGCCUAGGAUGAUAAAGUUUGGUACACAGGUGUCACAUCAUGAAAUACAGGUCAAGUUUAACUUUGAGGUCAGUAGGUCAAGGUCACAAUAAGGCAAAACAGUGAAAUGUUUUUCAGAUUAUAACUUGAGAAUGCUUGAGCCUAGGAUCAUGAAAAUUGUUAGGGAGGUUGAUUAUGACCAGCAGGUGACCCCUAAUGAUGUUGAGGUCAGUAGGUCACAGGUCAAGGUCACACUGACCUGGUUCUU